GACGAACGCUGGCGGCGUGCUUAACGCAUGCAAGUCGAACGGAAAGGCCCUGCUUUUGUGGGGUGCUCGAGUGGCGAGCGGGUGAGUAACACGUGAGUAACCUGCCCUUGACUUUGGGAUAACUUCAGGAAACUGGGGCUAAUACCGGAUAGGAGCUCCUGCUGCAUGGUGGGGGUUGGAAAGUUUCGGCGGUUGGGGAUGGACUCGCGGCUUAUCAGCUUGUUGGUGGGGUAGUGGCUUACCAAGGCUUUGACGGGUAGCCGGCCUGAGAGGGUGACCGGCCACAUUGGGACUGAGAUACGGCCCAGACUCCUACGGGAGGCAGCAGUGGGGAAUAUUGCACAAUGGGCGGAAGCCUGAUGCAGCAACGCCGCGUGCGGGAUGACGGCCUUCGGGUUGUAAACCGCUUUCGCCUGUGACGAAGCGUGAGUGACGGUAAUGGGUAAAGAAGCACCGGCUAACUACGUG
rnacentral:rRNA from 1 species